rnacentral:misc_RNA from 1 species
AACAUCGCGCACCUGCGGGAACCUGCGGAAGGAUCAUUACAGAGUUGCAAAACUCCCUAAACCAUUGUGAACGUUACCUAAACCGUUGCUUCGGCGGGCGGCCCGGGUCCUUCCCGGCGCCCAUCGGCCCUCGCGGGCGCCCGCCGGAGGUAAACCAAACUAUUGCAUUGUAUGGCCUCUCUGAGUCUUCUGUACUGAAUAAGUCAAAACUUUCAGCAACGGAUCUCAGAUCAGAAGAGC